GGAAAUGUCAUCGCUACGUUCUUCUUCUUUUGGUCGCCAAUGAGUAAAGUAAAACAAAUCAUAAAGAACAAGUUUACAGAGCAGCUCUUAAGCAUUUCGUACCAGAUCACUUUUUUCAAGCGCCUCCGAUCUGCUUGGUAUCGCUUGCCCUAUGUGUCACCAAACAACAUUUUCAUAUCAAGCAUCAAUGGCAUUGGUGCAGCUAUUGAAG